UGCACUUGCUUGCUCAUGUGCUCCCUCUUGCAAGGGGCUGAGUACAGUGGGCCAAGUAGAUGGGGAUCCACCAUUGUGAGUCCCACAAAGGGGCCAAGAAAAAUCCUGCAUCAUGAUCCCACCUGCCUGGGAGAAGCAUCAGAAACUCCAUUUGCUCCCUGUCUCUUCCUUCAGAGACUUUCAAGACUUGUGGCUUUCAAGCAUUUCAGAAUGGAUGGGUAUAUCAUACCUUAUUUAACCAGCAUCCUAUUGUUGGACUGUUAGGUUUUUCUAUCAAAAAUAACCCUGUGAUGAGCCUCUUGAAAUUGCUGUCUUUGCAUGGAUCCACUAUAUUUCCUUUGGAUAAUUCCAAAAACGAACAAUGGGUGUGUGUGAGUUAAAGCGUUUAACUUAUUUCCAAAGUAACUUCCAU
rnacentral:lncRNA from 1 species